CUCCUUUGACGUUAGCGGCGGACGGGUGAGUAACACGUGGGUAACCUACCUAUAAGACUGGGAUAACUUCGGGAAACCGGAGCUAAUACCGGAUAAUAUUUCGAACCGCAUGGUUCGAUAGUGAAAGGUGGUUUUGCUAUCACUUAUAGAUGGACCCGCGCCGUAUUAGCUAGUUGGUAAGGUAACGGCUUACCAAGGCGACGAUACGUAGCCGACCUGAGAAGGUGAUCGGCCACACUGGAACUGAGACACGGUCCAGACUCCUACGGGAGGCAGCAGGG
rnacentral:rRNA from 1 species